UGGGCUGUAGCCAAGCGGCUAAGGCAACGGACUUUGACUCCGUGAUACGCUGGUUCGAAUCCAGCCAGCCCAG
rnacentral:tRNA from 1 species